AAAAAAAACCAAAAAAAAAACCACCAAAAAAGAAAACAACAAACCUGCUCUCAUUUCCAAGACAAGACUUGCUAUGAAGUCUCAGGAAUCAGCUUGGGUGAGAGUUGAAAUUUCAUCAGUCUUCAGGGAGCAGGAACUUAUCUAUAGUGCAGGUCAAGUGAGAUGUAACAGGUACCAUCCAAGGUUAAAGGUGUGAUAGAAGUAAACAGGCUUGCCGUUGUAGCAGACUUGCAGGGAUGCAAAGAAUGGUAAUAAAUGCAUUCAAAGUCUCCUAACAUCUAGAAAACAGAGCAACAAGGAAGAGGAUGGCUGCUCUUAAUUCUGCUGAACAUAUCUGCAAAAACUUUGCAAGGUAGGUACCUGUCUGUUUUCAAACCCAGCCUUGAUUUGCCUCUUUUUCUUCUCUGUUUUUUGACCCCAGGGUUCUAUUCCUCUUCACACACCUGGAAGAGAGUGCUCAGAAGUGAUGCUUUUCUUCAGGUUUCCUCUCCCAGGCAGCUCUUGGGGGCCAGGGUGCAGCUGGCCUCAGCUUGCACUACCCCACUGCUCCUGGCUGCCAUUCCACCCUCCCUGAUGUUCCUGGCCAUGGAGCUGUGUUGGAAACAGGCUUCUGGGCACUGUGCUCUGGGCAGUGUGUGCUAGGAUACAAACCACAGGUAAAUCAUGUGCUCUGUAAAAUGAAGCAUUUCAAUCCAAGAGUCGAGGGACAUUGUCUCCAUUUUCUUGCCAGCCACAUCGCAGCCUGUGCAAUACAUUUACUUUAUGACAUUUAAAAAGGGCAAGGAUCUGCCAUCACAGCUGCUUCAUCUAUACACAUUUUGUGUGUGUUCCAUACAUGCAUAGUGGGUCUGCAGGGCUCCAAAGAAAGCCUAAAGGGCUCCCAUGCUGGAAUCACCUUCCCUGUGAGAUGGUGGGGUUUUUCUGGCAUGAGGAUGCAGAUCACGUCCCCCCUGCAGGAAGGCAGGAGAGGCAGGGAUGCCCCAGACUGGUAAAGAUGCUCAGCCUUAUAUUCUGGUGCUACUGGGAGCAUUCUGUCUAGUUUGUGUUUUCUCAUUGCAUCAUAAAUGUUUUAUAUUUAGGUUUUGUCCUCUCUGUUUUUUUUUCCUUGCUUCUUCAGACUAUAUUUGACCAUCUUUAUCUCUCUCCAUGUAUUACUCCUACUUGUUUCUUUUUCCUGCGAUGGUCUUAUUUUUCCAGUUCUUUAUAGCCACAUUUCUGCCCAAAACAGAGAACCUAAUUUUUAAGGGAAACAAGCUCUAACUCGAAACCUAGUUUCUGUUUUUCCAAAAUGGACUUUCCUCUUCUCAUGGCAAUUUCCCUCCUUUGCUCAAAUCCCACAUUAAAAAUUGUUGGAAACAUUAGCCAAACAGGAUUAAAAAGAAACAUUUUAAGAAAAUGUCAUUUGGGUUUUGAAUGAUAGAGCAAGGCUGUGUGUAUGGUAUACUAUAAAAAGCCUUAAACACCAGUAUAUUAUGCAAAAAAGUAACAGCUAUUCUUUCCGAAGGUGCCAUUUAUCAGCAUCUGAGGAGGUUAUUUAAGUGAGUAGUUUGGCAAACAUGAACUAAAUUGUAAUGUUUAUCAGCUGUCCUGUUUAACUCUAAAUAACAUAGAAGAAGAUGGCUCUUAAAAAUGAAGUGGACAUCAAUCAAUACACAUUGCCAGUUUACACGAGAGGUGAUAUAUAGCUCCGUAGAAACCAUGCAUGGGAGAAGUGCUGCUGGGGGUCACUUUACCAGGCAAAGGAAAGAGGCUGAAUCAUACACCUUGGGCAGGAACAGACAAGCACUCUGUCAUUUUAAUAAUGCUCUCAUUGCAGAAAGUUUCACCAGUUAUGGCCAUGAUGCUUAAUUGCCCUCAUUUAUCUCCCUAAUAAGUGAUGUCAUUGAGUUAGAGCUGUUGAACAUAUACAACUGGCAAGUCAGUCAGUAAACCUGCUAUCCAUACCUACUGAGGAAAAUGGGGGCAUAAAUUGGAGUGAGAAAUGCAGCAAGGCCUUAAAACUAUACAUAGUGAAAUUUAGAACAGCAAAACAGAUAUUUUAUUGUCUUAUUUAUCUACUUGUCUGAGACCAUCCAUAUUUAUUGAGAACUUAAAAGAUGAAAAUACAUACACAGAAACCCCAAAUUCUCUAAGUAUAGAAGCAAACCCAUUUGUACUGACAGCUUGAGAGUUUAGGGGGUGACAGCUCUCCUUUGGUCCUGCUGCAUCUUCAUAUAGGUAGAAAUAACUGCAAGCCUGCACCAUGGAUCUGUCACUCUGUGCAUAGAAAAAAAAAAGUACUUUCAGUUCCAUAUUUUCAUUCCUAGCAAGGCUUUAGUUUUGAAUGAUGUAGGUGAAUGAAAGCAAUAAAAAGAAAAAAGCAAACAAAAAGCCCCCCCAAAUGGCUUUACUCAAGCUGAGUGAACAAAUAGAGAAAAAAACCCAAUACAUUCUUAGCAGUGAGUCUGCGUUAUCUCCGUAGGGUACAAAUCACUGCCAUUUCCAAGUCUUUAUCUCCCUUGCAGAGGUUACCACCUGCUGCAUUUCCAGGAGGUCUGGAUGGUGUUGCCAUGGCCUGGCCAGGGGCUGUCACUACUGCUGUGCUUAGGCAGGAUGAUCUGUGAGCAGGCAGGAAAUGUGUCCAAGGUGGCUGGAGUUUUGUUUGUUUACUUGCUUGUUCUCCCACAUUUCUAGGUGAGGAAACUUUCUCUAAAAGGAAUCUGUUCUGACAGAGCUAAGCUUUUGGGGCCAGUCUGGAGUUUCUUCUCAUCUCACAUCUGCCCUUUAAUGGGGGAAAAUGUGAGAGGGCUAUUUAUGUCCUUCUUCAAAAUCCUCUUUUCCCAGACUCAGGAAUUAAAUGGCUGGAGUUUGACAAUUAAGCAAAGUUGCUUAGUCUCUGUUAACCUCUGUGUCUACAAGGGCAGAGAGCAGCAGGACUUUACAGGUCUGAGCAGGCUAAAAGUGGUCAUGCAAGAUGAUGGGAGUCUUGGGGCAUCCUGUGCUGCUUCAUGCAGGAAAUUAGGUGAUUAUUGGAAAUAACUUCCUGGGAAUUGCUAGGAAAGCAUAAAGGGAGUGAGGGAGACUGAGAGUGAGUAGAGGAAAGCCAAGGGGCUUCUGCAGGGCCAGAAUUAGGUAAGAGCCUGUGUGAGAAAAUGAGAGGUAGGGCAGGGGAGGACCAAUGACCUGCAGCAAGGCCGGUGUCCUCAGGCUGCUCCUUUCUCAGAACAGUUUGUUUCUAUUAUUCCAUCCUUUUCCACACUGGGGAAAAUGAUUUUUUAAAAAUGUUGCCUGUUUAUGGCAUGGCUUUAGAUUUUUUUUUAAGGUCUUGCACCUCUAUGUGGAGCACUUAAACUGCCUGUGGGCAGAUAGCUUGCCACCGCAGCGCCGAGAGACUUCCUCAGCAGAGUUCACAACUGCAGCUAACAGUUUGGGUGGUUCUACUAAAAAUACAUUACACCUGGAGAUACUUGAUGACUCUUUUCCCAGAGCUGAUGAAAAUUACUGUUACUUUUUUGAAGGGAAUUUUCAGGAAGUGUUAAACGUAUCUAUAAUAAGAGGAGUUGGCUUUAAACGUAAUAUUCACCACAGCUUUGAACUGUUGGUAAAUCCAGUUUGCUUCCUACAAUAUCCCCACAUUUCUUUAUGGAAAUAACUUCACACUGUUGGAAUCUGUGAGAAGGAAGGUGAUAUGGGUCAUGAAAUUAUACCAGAUUUUAAUUUCUACUGUAUGAAAUUCAUAGCGUGCAGGAUCUCAAACAGCAGCUACCAAGUUAGAUUGUAUUCUUAAUAUAGACUCUCAAACCCUUUUAUGAUUAAAUGUUGACUUUUCCUACAUGAAAGCACAAAAGGUUGAUGCUGUGUGGGAAGUUCAAGGUACACAGAUUACAGGGUGUAAAAAUAAGGAUAAAAAGUAUUUUUUUUUUUAAUUUUAGAGUCCUUUUAAAAUGUUGGAAAAAUGUUCCAGGUCAUUUCAAAACCAGUGUUUUUGAAAUGUUGUUAGCAUGAUGAACUAUUACAAAAUCUGUGGGAUAAAACCUUUGUUUUCACUGGUGUUAAACAAAAUUUAUAACCAAGAACUAAUUAUUACAAACCCACAAACUCAAAAUUGUGUUUAAAAAUGAUGAAGAAAAAUACUUCAGUUUGUUCCAGUAUACCUUUAAAGCAUUUUAAUAUUCCUAAAUGAACAAUUUGGUAAAAAUAAUGCAACUUAACAAAAUGUUUGAAUUUUGCUGACACAAAUGUGUAACAAUUUCAAACAGCUGUCUGUGGUAGGGACAGGCACUUGGUCUGUGAAGGGCUAGGGAUUUACUAGGACCAGAAGACUGCAGUAAAAGUAGGAAAU